rnacentral:rRNA from 1 species
UACGUAGGGGGCUAGCGUUGUCCGGAAUCAUUGGGCGUAAAGAGCGUGUAGGCGGCCCGGUAAGUCCGCUGUAAAAGUCAAAGGCUCAACCUUUGAAUGUCAGUGGAUACUGCCGAGCUAGAGUCCGGAAGAGGCGAGUGGAACUCCUGGUGUAGCGGUGGAAUGCGCAGAUAUCAGGAAGAACACCAACGGCGAAGGCAGCUCGCUGGGACGGUACUGACGCUGAGACGCGAAAGCGUGGGGAGCGAACAGG